rnacentral:rRNA from 1 species
GACGAACCGAGCGAACGUUGUUCGGAAUCACUGGGCUUAAAGGGCGCGUAGGCGGGCGGCCGCGUCCGGGGUGAAAUCCCACGGCUCAACCGUGGAACGGCCUCGGAUACGGGCGGCCUGGAGGCGGGUAGGGGCAGGCGGAACUGUGGGUGGAGCGGUGAAAUGCGUUGAGAUCCACAGGAACUCCGGUGGCGAAGGCGGCCUGCUGGACCCGAACUGACGCUGAGGCGCGAAAGCCAGGGAGCGAACGGG